rnacentral:rRNA from 1 species
GACGUACGCUGGCGGCGUGCUUAACACAUGCAAGUCGAACGAUGAAGCUGGAGCUUGCUCCGGUGGAUUAGUGGCGAACGGGUGAGUAACACGUGAGCAAUCUGCCCUUGACUCGGGGAUAACGGCGGGAAACUGUAGCUAAUACCGGAUAUCGCGUUUGGAGGCAUCUCGGGGCGCUGAAAGAAUUUCGGUCAAGGAUGAGCUCGCGGCCUAGCAGCUAGUUGGUGAGGUAAUGGCUCACCAAGGCGACGACGGGUAGCCGGCCUGAGAGGGUGACCGGCCACACUGGGACUGAGACACGGCCCAGACUCCUACGGGAGGCAGCAGUGGGGAAUAUUGCACAAUGGGCGAAAGCCUGAUGCAGCAACGCCGCGUGAGGGAUGAAGGCCUUCGGGUUGUAACCCUCUUUUAGCAGGGAAGAAGCGAAAGUGACGGUACCUGCAGAAAAAGCACCGGCUAACUACGUGCCAGCAGCCGCAGUAA